UACAGAGGUCUCAAGCGUUGUUCGGAUUCAUUGGGCGUAAAGGGUGCGUAGGUGGCGCUGUAAGUCGGGUGUGAAAUUUCGGAGCUUAACUCCGAAACUGCAUUCGAUACUGCGGUGCUUGAGGACUGGAGAGGAGACUGGAAUUUAUGGUGUAGCAGUGAAAUGCGUAGAGAUGUGGAGGAACACCGAUGGCGAAGGCAGCCUCCUGGGCCAGCACUGACGCUCAUGCACGAAAGCGUGGGGAGCAAACAGG
rnacentral:rRNA from 1 species